UGGAACGUAGCAUGGCAAUUUUAAAACGUGGAAAAUUCACUGGCAAAAAGCAAUAGCAUAUACGAUACAUCUCGAAAUAAACGAACAGACCUCCAUCGAGCAAAUAACGUUAAUAGUUCCAUUCGAUUCGUUCGGCUGGUCAUGAAAAUCCGAAAAAUUCGCGGAAUUUUUCGCGCGCGAGAGCGACAAAGAUGCGGGCAACGUUGUCAGAUCGUAAUCGAUUAAACUCGCCGUUCCGUGUCGUAGAUUGUCGCGCACCGACUAGUCGGCUGGUUAUCGGUAAUCGUCUGUAACCGCGGCACAGGUCCAUCGGUUGACUUAUCGACGAGUUCGGCCGAUUUCCAUACGUAUCCACGCUGCGUAUCGUGCAUUACCGGUAUUGAACACGAUUCGAAGGCGAGGAACGAAGCGUGACACCGAAAUGGGGAUCGAAUUCUGCGACGAUCGGGCGCGGUUUUAGGCCGAAUUAAGCUUCGAAUGCGUGGUUCACGGCAUUGGAAACGUUUCGCUGAUAUUAACUCUUCCAUAAUAUCAAUUUAAUGGAGCUUAAAAUAGAAUAAUCUGCUUAACACGUAGUGUGCCAUUGGAGGGAUUAUUUUUAGAUGAACUUUGAUAUUAAAUUAACGAUGUAAAUAUAUGAAUAAGACUGUUAAUAUAUAUAUAUAUAU